rnacentral:rRNA from 1 species
GCAAGGAAUAUUGCGCAAUGGGCGAAAGCCUGACGCAGCGACGCCGCGUGGGGGAAGAAGACCUUCGGGUUGUAAACCCCUUUUCCCGGGGACGAAUAAUGACGGUACCCGGGGAAUAAGUCUCGGCCAACUACGUGCCAGCAGCCGCGGUAAUACGUAGGAGGCAAGCGUUAUCCGGAUUCACUGGGCGUAAAGCGGGUGCAGGCGGUUUGGUAAGUCGGAUGUAAAAUCUCCUGGCUUAACUGGGAGGGCGCAUUCGAAACUACCAGACUAGAGGGCAGCAGAGGAAGAUGGAAUUCCCGGUGUAGUGGUGAAAUGCGUAGAUAUCGGGAGGAACACCAGUGGCGAAAGCGAUCUUCCAGGCUGUACCUGACGCUGAGACCCGAAAGCGUGGGGAGCAAACAGGAUUAGAUACCCUAGUAGUCC